rnacentral:lncRNA from 1 species
CCGGGCGGCAUCCCCGUGACCACGAUCACCGGUCAGCCCGAAACGGCCACGUUCUCCGACUCAGAGGUGAGCGGGGCUGUGGGACGACAUACCCCCCCCCACACACACACACAAGUGGGGGGGGGCCCAUCUUGGAGGCUGGGUUGGGGGCAUUGCCGUCGGGCAGGGGGUGUGGCUUUGGCUCAGCCCUUGCGUUUAAACGCCCUCCAGGGGCAUCUGGGGGGCUCAGUCGGUGAAGCCAUGGGCUGGGGCUCAGGUCGUCAUCUCACGGUUCGUGGGUUCGAGCCCCGCCUCUGGGUCUGUGCUCACAGCUCACAGCCUGGUUGGGAUCCCCUCUCUCCCUCUCUCUGCCCCUCCCCUCAAAAAUAAAUUAACAUUUUUUAAAAAAAAAAGGCUUAAACACUUUGCAGCUGGAGAAAGACAGUCAGCCCCCCAGAAGCCCCCCAGGCCCCCCCCGGGUGAUGCCGCGAACCCCAAAUAAACCCAGAACGCGUGUAAAUUCGUGUGCCAGCAUCUCGGUCCUUGGCGCGAAAGGGAACGCGCAGCUGGGGUCUUGAGCGCCCGGCUUCUGCCUCCACCGAUACGUCUGCAAUAAUCGAUGAUCAUGAUUAUUGAUUUUAUCACCCUCACGGCAGCCAUCCACCACACGCACUAAAGCGCGUCACCCGGGACCCCAGGGUCAUGGUCAGCCCCCGUGACCAUGGUUCUUCCCCGUGCGCAUGCGCGGAUCUGCCUCUGUGCGCCCGGAGGCACAGGACCCCGAGGGGCGCCCGCCUGGGGAGCGCUAGGACGGGUCGUCCCCGCAGCCCUUUCCUCGGGGGACGUGUUUCUGUGCAUUUUCCUCUUCCCUCUUGGGUGGUAUCGUGACCCAUCUGCCAGCUUUCCCGGCUUUUCUGCGGGCACUUCUCGCCUUGCCACACAAGACACAGAGCUGAGGGGCAGCACAAAGGCGAGCACUGGCGGGUGGCCCUGGGAGUCCGUCUCCAGCACUGAGUCAGGGACUUUCAGGACCCGUGCCCUUUCCAAGGGGACCUGUGGGUUGUGUCUGCUCUCCAAGGGGACCUUCAGGGCCCGUGCCCUUUCCAAGGGGACCUUCGGGCCUGUGCUCUUUCCAAGGGGAACUUCGGGCCCAUGAAUUUCCAAAGGGACCUUCAGGGGCCAUGCCCUUUCCAAGGGGACCUUCGGGGCCCAUGAGCUCUCCAAAGGGACCGUCAGGGCCUGUGCCCUUUCCAAGGGGACCUUUGGGUCGCAUGUGCUCUCCAAGGGGACCUUCGGGCCCGUGCCCUUUCCAAGGGGACCUUUGGGACCUGUGCCCUUUCCAAGGGGACUUCGGGGCCCGUGAGCUUUCCAAAGGGACCUUCAGGGGCCAUGCCCUUUCCAAGGGGAGCUUCAGGGCCCGUGAGCUCUCCAAAGGGAACUUCUGGCCCGUGCCCUUUCCAAGGGGACCUUCGGGGCCCGUGAGCUCUCCAGAGGGACCGUCAGGGCCCAUGCCCUUUCCAAGGAGAACUUCAGGGCCCGUGCCCUUUCCAAAGGAACUUCAGGGCCUGUGAGCUCUCCAAAGGGACCUUCAGGGCCCGUGCCCUUUCCAAGGGGACCUUCAGGACCUGUGCCCUUUCCAAGGGGACCUUUGGGUCGCGUGUGCUCUCCAAGGGGACUUUCGGGCCCGUGCCCUUUCCAAGGGGACCUUCGGGACCCGUGAGCUUUCCAACAGGACCUUCAGGGGCCAUGCCCUUUCCAAGGGGAGCUUUGGGGCCCGUGAGCUCUCCAAAGGGAACUUCUGGCCUGUGCCCUUUCCAAGGGGACUUCGGGGCCCAUGAGCUUUCCAAAGGGACCUUCAGGGACCAUGCCCUUUCCAAGGGGACCUUCAGGCCUGUGCCCUUUCCAAGGGGACCUUUGGGUCAUGUCUGCUCUCCAAAGGGACCUUCAGGGCCCGUGCCCUUUCCAAGGGGAACUUAGGGCCCGUGCCCUUUCCAAGGGGACCUUUGGGACCCGUGAGCUUUCCAAAGGGACCUUCAGGGCCCGUGCCCUUUCCAAGGGGACCCUCAGGACCUGUGCCCUUUCCAAGGGGACCUUUGGGGCUCAUGAGCUCUCCAAAGGGAACUUCUGGCCCGUGCCCUUUCCAAGGGGAUUUCGGGGCCCGUGAGCUUUCCAAAGGGACCUUCGGGGGCCAUGCCCUUUCCAAGGGGAGCUUUGGGGCCUGUGAGCUCUCCAAAGGGAACUUCAGGGGCCAUGCCCUUUCCAAGAGGACAUUUGGGCCCGUGCCCUUUCCAAGGGGACCUUUGGGUCGUGUCUGUUCUCCAAAGGGACCUUCAGGGCCCGUGCCCUUUCCAAGGGGAACUUCGGGUCCCGUGCCCUUUCCAAGGGGACCUUUGGGGCCCGUGAGCUCUCCAAAGGGACCUUCGGGGCCCGUGCCCUUUCCAAGGGACCUUCGGAGCCUGUGUGCUCUCGAAGGGGAACUUUGGGACCUGUGCCCUCUCCAAGGGGACAUUCGGGACCUCUGCCUUUUCCAAGGGGAACUUCGGGGCCGUGUGCUCUCCAAGGGAAACUUCAGGGCCCGUGCCCUUUCCAAGGGGGGCCCCUCAUGCACGUUGGCUUUGCUUGUGUGCAGAGGGCACUCGGGGAAGGUGACUCCCAGCUCUCAGGGCGCAGCUUACCAGCGCGCACCCUCUAAUUACCCGGGGUUAAUCUCCAGGCGGAGCCUGGGAGGACCCGUAAUCUAUGGAGAUGUAAGCUAAUUACUUAAUCACUUGCAUUUGUAAAUCACAUUAUUGGAAAAGAAAUUACUCCGGUGAUCGAAUUACAGAUAUCUAUCCGCUAAUAGCUCUGAUUAACUGGUGAUGUUAAUCUGUCAUUUUGAAAGCUAAUAUUAACAGCAUCAAUCUCGCUGGAAAUGUAAGCAGUUUAUGCGAAAUAGAACUUGGGUCUAUUUAAGGUGCAAGGCGGUGACGUGCUGGGUCUGGGGUGCUGUAUGGGUGGGUCACGUUGGCCGGUUAAACCUUUGUGGGUGUCCAAAGCCUGGAGGGUGACACCAGACGGGGACAUGUGCCUUUUGACCAGCACCGUGAAGGGAGACAGACACAAGGGGACAGGCGAUUACCAGAAAGUUCCAAAGGUUGCAGAAAAAAGGACCCCCCAGCACCAUCAAGAGAGACCCAAAGUGUUUACCAAGGGUUUCUUCCCCAUGACAACGUGUCACCCGACGUUCCAAGGAAGGAAGCAUUUAUGGGCCAGCAGCUGGGUGACGUUGGUUUCCACUCUAGCAACAUAAAUUCUCUUGUCUUUAAUGCACGUCGAGUCACCGUAAAGAAAAAGGAAUUUCGGGGGCGCCUGAGUGGCUCAGUCCACGUAGGGCAGGUCAUGAUCUCACGACUUGUGAGUUGGGGCUCUGUCCCUCUCUCCCUCUGCCCCUCCCCCACUCGUGCUUGCUCUCUCUCUAAAAAACAAAAGAAAAAGAAAAGGAAUACAGAUAGAAUAUGUAGAUAUUACCUAUACAAACAUUAUAUAUUAUAUACAUAGAAAUAGAAGUGUUAUAUAUGUUAUGUUUAUAAUAUAUAAGUAUAAUAUAUAAUAUAUAAAAUUAUAAUAUAUAUUAUAAGCAUAAUAUAUAUUUACACCAUAUUCUAAUUAUAUAUUAUAUAUUGUAUAGUGUAUGUUAUAUGUUAUAUGUUAUGUAUUAUAAGCAUUAUAUAUAUUUCCACCAUAUUGUCUUUAUCCAUUGCUUGGUCAACAGACAUCUACAUUGUUGAUGUACGUGAUUUUAUAAACAAUUACUUUUUUUAAAAAAUCACAAGACAUCUGGCCAAGAAAUGCCAGGUGCCACGGAUUUCAGAGGCCACCGCACGUCCCACGAUAAACACUGCCUCACAGCACAUCCUUAACGCCAGGAAACGUGAUCAAGCCACAUACCUUAAAGAGUCACAGUUGCAUUUCUGGGAAGCUACCCCAGUCCCGGGAAGCUCACACGAGGACAUUACUGCGGCGUGUCUUGUGAGACCCAGAGUGUGGACACAGCCACCCCGGUUGAUGAUUUGUGUUCACGAUUCCCUAGUUGACUCACGGAUACGGGUCCGAGGAGACACCCGCCCGCCCUUCUUAACAUGUGUCGUUGGCCAUCUCUGGUGAUUUUUGGAGAGUUCCUCGCAAAGGCCACGGGUUCCUUUCCAGCUGUCUCCUCCCCCUGGAGCCCACGCCUGACACGGGGGGUGGUGAAUAGGGAAUUGGCCACCUGUCCGUGCCUCACCAGGCAACAUCUGUUGGGGAGUAGGGAAUAUCCUUUCUUCCUAUUUAAUUUUUAAUCUUCUUCUCUCUAGGAUGUUGGCAGUAAGAGAGGAGAGUGUACCCGAGUUAGCUUUGUAAAAAUGUGCAUCUCUGAGAAUCUGAUCCUGCGUCCCACGGCCUCUUGUAGAGACGGAAGGCACUGCGACAGUGUUAAAACCCAGCUGGUAAGUGUGGAGACGUAGGUAGGAGCCCUUCAGUGGAAACGCGUUAGGAACAGCAAGACGUGAGCCCUUGUAACUCUCCAAGAAAGGUAUCACGGAGGGCCAUGGGUUGAGCCACGUUGCCUCCUGCCCAGUGGGACCUUAUUGGCAGGUGGGACCUUCACAGAUGUCAUCAAGUUAAGGCGAGGUCACUAGGUUGGGUCUGAAUCCAACGGGGCUCCUGUCCUUACAAGAAGACGAGACCAGAACACAAGCACGUGACCACAGGGGCAGAGAUGUGUGUGACGCGUCCACAUGCCCAAGAACACCAAUGAUCGCCAGUGGCCACCAGAAGCUGGAGAAAAGCCUUGAGCAGACACUCCCCUGGAGAGACCAGAAGGAGUCACCCGGGGUGACACAGAGGCUUGUAUUGUCUCUGUGUCAGAGAGGCUUGUACUGUCAAUCGACAGGCUCUUACCGCGUGGCUCCCAUCAUCUGUGGGGGGUUAGGAGUCUAACAACUGGGAGUAGAAAAGGAGGUGCCCCCAGAGCAUUGUGUCUGACCCUCCCCCACCCAUGGAACUGUUGAGACACAUGUGCUGUCUUCAGCCACUACCCCUGAAAAGCUCAGUAUUCGUCACCCUGUGUAGGACCAGGAGAAAGAAAGAGAAACCCUUAUAUUUUCAUUGGCUCUUGGUGACUGAAACCCUGCCAAGAACACAAAACACCAGAGUUGCCUGAAAUGUGAGUUUUUCCCAUCUGAAGCUCUUAGCAUGGUUCACACUUCUCCCAAUUUCUCACUGACCUCUGCGUCUGCCCUGGUCUUUCCCCAGCCUCCCGGUGCCCCCAUUUUCAAGUUCACUAACCUCCAACAGAAAGAUCAGCUUGUCGGUGGAUUCCCUCACUGGUUCUCGUCAGUACCGUGACCGCAUAAGCUGCUGGUGUGCAUGAAGCUCUGUGGGAAAGACAGGAUUUUGCCGCUGUUUUGUAAAUUUAUAAGUAUCCGUUUGCCGGGGCACAGGUCUGCCUUGGGUUCAACCAUACUGUAACAGGUCAGGUUGCUGACUUCAUGUUGGCUCAACCAAGCUCAUGGUCCUUGUGAUAAUGAGAUGUAUAAAAUGUCAUAACGUGUUUUAACACGAGUGUGUGCCCACAUGGGAAAUGUAAAAGAAACUGGAGACGAUUCAGGGUGUGUUAGAGGUUCUUAAAGAGCAAAGUAGACUUCAAAAGGACUUGGUUAUACAGUAAAACCUUGGAUUUCGAGCGUUCUCCAAGAUGAGCAAACAUGGCUAACAAAUUUUAACUUGAUAAGCAAGCAAUGUCUUGCUUUAUGAGGGGUACGUGACACUGAACAUCACACGAUCACAACUGAGCCGAUGGUUCUUUUCUUUUUUUAAUGUUUUAUUUAUUUUUGACACAGAGAGAGACAGAGCGUGAGCAGGGGAGGGGCAGAGAGAGAGAGAGAGACACAGAAUCCAAAGCAGGCUCCAGGUUCCGAGCUGUCAGCACAGAGCCCGACGUGGGGCUCGAACCCACAGACCGCGAGAUCAUGAUCUGAGCCAAAGUCGGAUGCUUCACCGACUGAGCUACCCGGGCGCCCCUGAGCCAAUGGUUCUUGAAAUUUGCUUUCAUAGACAAGUGCUUUGGAUUACAAGCAUGCGUCCGGAACAAAUUUUGCUUGCAAACCAAGGUUUUAGCAUAUUCUCAUUUUUUUUUUCUGUUGAUAAAUUUGCUGUUGCAGGAAUCGAGUGUGUUCUAGAGGGGGAAUCACUAGUAGGUUCUUCCUACUGACUUUAUAAACCGGGACAACAGUUGUAUGGAUUUCUUUGCAUCUCUCUGAGAAUUGGCUAAUUGUUCGUUUUACUCCGAAACAUUCAUUCAAUUCAAUGGCAACCUCAAAGCACAUUAAACACACAAAGUUUAAUA